rnacentral:rRNA from 1 species
GACGAACGCUGGCGGCGUGCUUAACACAUGCAAGUCGAACGUAAAGAGGGAAAGAGCUUGCUCUUUCCGGAAUUGAGUGGCAAACGGGUGAGUAACACGUAAACAACCUGCCUUCAGGAUGGGGACAACAGACGGAAACGACUGCUAAUACCGAAUAAGUUCCAAGGGCCGCAUGGCCCAUGGAAGAAAAGGUGGCCUCUACCUGUAAGCUAUCGCCUGAAGAGGGGUUUGCGUCUGAUUAGCUGGUUGGAGGGGUAACGGCCCACCAAGGCGACGAUCAGUAGCCGGUCUGAGAGGAUGAACGGCCACACUGGAACUGAGACACGGUCCAGACUCCUACGGGAGGCAGCAGUGGGGAAUCUUCCGCAAUGGGCGAAAGCCUGACGGAGCAACGCCGCGUGAGUGAUGACGGCCUUCGGGUUGUAAAACUCUGUGAUCCGGGACGAGAAGGCAGAGUGCGAAGAACAAACUGCAUUGACGGUACCGGAAAAGCAAGCCACGGCUAACUACGUG